AGGUUCCAAAAUACUCAAUUAUUUAGCGACCGCUAUCCAUUCUUGGAUAAAUGAGGGGGCACUGCCUGGUAUAAACUUAGUUGCCCCCUUGUGCCCCAAAGUACAGGUGUCGUCCUCACGUCUUAGAGACAGACCUUGAACCUCAAAACACUUUGAGAUCAGCCCAGAUCACAGCCGUCUUUCCCCACGAACUGCAGUGACAACUGCGGUCCCCACCCAGAAGAGUGGAGGUGCCAGGGCACAGCCAGCCCCAGCGGGGACGGGGGCUGGCUUGCCAGAGGCCUGACUAUGCAUCAGAGCAAUUUGAGGAGUGGUGUAAAACAUUCCCUGCAGCUUCAGCUAUCCCAGAGGUGUUUGGUUUGCUUGCAGGGCAGCAGGAACUAUACUACAGCUUGCAGCGUGGGUGAGCAGAUGGGGUAGGUGCGCGCAGCAAAACAGCUGGUGGAAUUUCUGAACAGACCCUUUGCUCGUGUGGUCACUUUCGGUUUGCAGGGGACUGAAGUAAGAUCAUCCUUCUGGCCUUUUAUUUCUAUGUUCCUGUUCUUCUAUUCUUAUUUUUAAAUAACAAUUGUUCAGGUUUUCCUAUUAAAUAACAAAUGCAAGUGUUUUGCAAAGUUUUGGCUUCCUGAAAAGGGACCUUCCCCUUUGUAAUCUGCUUUUCAAAAUGUGCUAAGUCAUUCCCUGGGCAAGUUUCUGUUUCAGUUUCCACUUGCUUUUCUAAUGCUGGGUUUCCAUAAAACAGGAGAGUUUCUGUUUUCAAAGU